rnacentral:rRNA from 1 species
GACGUAGGGCGCAAGCGUUGUCCGGAUUUAUUGGGCGUAAAGAGCUCGUAGGCGGCUUGUUGCGUCGUCCGUGAAAACCCGCAGCUCAACUGCGGGCUUGCGGACGAUACGGGCAGGCUGGAGUUCGGUAGGGGAGACUGGAAUUCCUGGUGUAGCGGUGAAAUGCGCAGAUAUCAGGAGGAACACCGGUGGCGAAGGCGGGUCUCUGGGCCGAUACUGACGCUGAGGAGCGAAAGCGUGGGGAGUGAACAGG